UACGAAGGGGGCUAGCGUUGCUCGGAAUCACUGGGCGUAAAGCGCACGUAGGCGGCUUUUUAAGUCAGGGGUGAAAUCCUGGAGCUCAACUCCAGAACUGCCUUUGAUACUGGAAAGCUCGAGUCCGGGAGAGGUGAGUGGAACUGCGAGUGUAGAGGUGAAAUUCGUAGAUAUUCGCAAGAACACCAGUGGCGAAGGCGGCUCACUGGCCCGGUACUGACGCUGAGGUGCGAAAGCGUGGGGAUCAAACAGG
rnacentral:rRNA from 1 species